rnacentral:rRNA from 1 species
CCUACGGGAGGCAGCAGUGGGGAAUUUUGGACAAUGGGGGCAACCCUGAUCCAGCCAUGCCGCGUGAGUGAAGAAGGCCUUCGGGUUGUAAAGCUCUUUCGGCCGGAACGAAAUCGCGCACGUGAAUAACGUGCGUGGAUGACGGUACCGGAGUAAGAAGCACCGGCUAACUACGUGCCAGCAGCCGCGGUAAUACGUAGGGUGCGAGCGUUAAUCGGAAUUACUGGGCGUAAAGCGUGCGCAGGCGGUUCGCUAAGUCAGACGUGAAAGCCCCGGGCUUAACCUGGGAACGGCGUUUGAAACUGGCGGGCUCGAGUACGGCAGAGGGGGGUGGAAUUCCACGUGUAGCAGUGAAAUGCGUAGAUAUGUGGAGGAACACCGAUGGCGAAGGCAGCCCCCUGGGCCGAUACUGACGCUCAUGCACGAAAGCGUGGGGAGCAAACAGGAUUAGAUACCCUGGUAGUCCACGCCCUAAACUAUGUCAACUAGUUGUCGGGGAAGCAAUUCCUUGGUAACGCAGCUACGACGUGAGUGACCGCCGUGGGAGGUACGGUCGCGAGAUAAACUACAAUAGAGUAGACGGCGUGAGACGUGCCGACGGACGACGACGAGGGAGGUUAGG